CGAUUGCGAAGGCAGCUUUCUGGAUCAUUACUGACACUGAGGAACGAAAGCAUGGGUAGCGAAGAGGAUUAGAUACCCUCGUAGUCCAUGCCGUAAACGAUGUGUGUUAGACGUUGGAAAUUUAUUUUCUGUGUCGCAGCGAAAGCAAUAAACACACCGCCUGGGGAGUACGACCGCAAGGUUAAAACUCAAAUGAAUUGACGGGGACCCGCACAAGUAGUGGAGCAUGUGGUUUAAUUCGAAGAUACGCGCAGAACCUUACCAACACUUGACAUGUUCGUCGCGACUUUAAGAGAUUAAAGUUUUCGGUUCGGCCGGACGAAACACAGGUGCUGCAUGGCUGUCGUCAGCUCGUGUCGUGAGAUGUUGGGUUAAGUCCCGCAACGAGCGCAACCCUCACUUUUAGUUGCCAUCAUUUAGUUGGGCACUCUGAAAGAACUGCCAGUGAUAAGCUGGAGGAAGGUGGGGAUGACGUCAAGUCCUCAUGGCCCUUACGUGUUGGGCUACACACGUGCUACAAUGGCAUUUACAAUAGGAAGCAAGACGGCGACGUUAAGCAAAUCCUAAAAAAAUGCCUCAGUUCGGAUUGUACUCUGCAACUCGAGUACAUGAAGCUGGAAUUACUAGUAAUCGCGGAUCAGCGCGCCGCGGUGAAUACGUUCCCGGGUCUUGUACACACCGCCCGUCACACCAUGGGAGUUGGUUCUACCUUAAGGCAAAGUUUAAUACCUUUGACCACGGUAUAGUCAGCGACUGGGGUGAAGUCGUAACAAGGUAGCCGUAGGGGAACCUGCGGCUG
rnacentral:rRNA from 1 species